GCCAAGUAAACAGCACAGAUUAUCUCCUGCACACUGAGAUGCCUUUCUCUGUUCACUGACGAUGGGUAAAGUUCAGGCCUCCCUUCUCCACCUCCCCUUCCUUAAUUCCAAACACUGCAGCAGGGUCACACUGAGCCCUGGUAGCAAUGCUAUCAACUUUGGCUUGAAUCUCUCCCCAAGCAAAUCACCACAAGAAAGGACAGAACAGUAAGUACAAGUAAUGAUAAUGGAAGAUCUCCUGAAAGCACAAGACCAAUGAGGACAUACACCCCAUUCAAGAGAGUGUUGGAAUAUAGCACAAAGAACAGUACCUCUUGAGCGUUCAAGUCAGUGUGCUUUCUAAAUACAAACAAGUAUUUUGCGCCUUUGCAGCUUGAUUAGAUAAAUUUUUAUCAAGUCAUAGAGAAGAACAGCAGCAUGGAGUCUUGCUAAAUUUAUCCUGAAAGCAGCUUUUUAGUAGCUUCCUAUCUGAAGUUACUACCGACAUUAACUGUGAGAGAGAUAGGCAAGAAGUGGGAUGAAUGAAACGUCAGUCUAUAUUGCUUCUUUAGAAGCUGUCUAGUGCAAUGUGUCAUUUCAAAUACCUACAAGGAAGGGGUUGUAUAGAUGUACAGAUUUUCUUCAAAUGUGUUCUAAUUCUGUUUGUACAAUGAAUCUCUAUUUUAUUUUCAAUACUACUAGAAACAGAAUCUAAAACUACCUUGGCAGGGGGCAUUAAUCUCAAAGCUCCUCCUUUGUGUACAGAGAUUGAGAGCUGUUCAUACUUACCAUAGAGACCUGCGGUGACUGAGGGCCCCAUUCACACAGAACAAGGUGACUAGGAGCCAGCAUUCUCUUACUGAGAGGGAGAAAUGCAACUGGGAUCUUCUCAGGAAAUUCCCUCUACGCGUGCAGAUGAAUGUUGUGUUUGUUGCUCAAAAUAUUAAGCAAUAUAGCAGCUUUAUGAUGGAUUUUGCUUUGUUGGAUGAAUAUGCAGUUUGUACUUCCUAG
rnacentral:lncRNA from 1 species